rnacentral:rRNA from 1 species
GACGAACGCUGGCGGCGUGCUUAACACAUGCAAGUCGAACGGAAAGGCCCUGCUUUUGUGGGGUGCUCGAGUGGCGAACGGGUGAGUAACACGUGAGUAACCUGCCCUUGACUUUGGGAUAACUUCAGGAAACUGGGGCUAAUACCGGAUAGGAGCUCCUGCUGCAUGGUGGGGGUUGGAAAGUUUCGGCGGUUGGGGAUGGACUCGCGGCUUAUCAGCUUGUUGGUGGGGUAGUGGCUUACCAAGGCUUUGACGGGUAGCCGGCCUGAGAGGGUGACCGGCAACAUUGGGACUGCGAUACGGCCCAGACUCCUACGGGAGGCAGCAGUGGGGAAUAUUGCACAAUGGGCGGAAGCCUGAUGCAGCAACGCCGCGUGCGGGAUGACGGCCUUCGGGUUGUAAACCGCUUUCGCCUGUGACGAAGCGUGAGUGACGGUAAUGGGUAAAGAAGCACCGGCUAACUACGUG